rnacentral:rRNA from 1 species
CCUACGGGUGGCUGCAGUGGGGAAUAUUGGACAAUGGGCGAAAGCCUGAUCCAGCCAUGCCGCGUGUGUGAAGAAGGCCUUCGGGUUGUAAAGCACUUUCAGUGGGGAAGAAAGCCUUGGGGCUAAUACCCUCGAGGAAGGACAUCACCCACAGAAGAAGCACCGGCUAACUCCGUGCCAGCAGCCGCGGUAAUACGGAGGGUGCGAGCGUUAAUCGGAAUUACUGGGCGUAAAGCGCGCGUAGGCGGUCUGAUAAGCCGGUUGUGAAAGCCCCGGGCUCAACCUGGGAACGGCAUCCGGAACUGUCAGGCUAGAGUGCAGGAGAGGAAGGUAGAAUUCCCGGUGCAGCGGUGAAAUGCGUAGAGAUCGGGAGGAAUACCAGUGGCGAAGGCGGCCUUCUGGACUGACACUGACGCUGAGGUGCGAAAGCGUGGGUAGCAAACAGGAUUAGAUACCCCAGUAGU